ensembl:lncRNA
GUCUAGAGGUGUGGGUCGCAGCGCAAGGUAUGUCUUAACUACCUCAUUGGGGAAUUAGGAUAGUUACUUGGCCAGUGCACUACGGGGGAUUUAAUUGUGUUUCUGUUGGGCUAGUGAUCGUUGAGUGCUCGCCGACGGUGACACUGUCUGUGCGAGUGACGAGCCUGGGUCUGCGUUCAGCGAUCCCGAUGGGAGAAGGAACAAGGUAUGUUUUGGCUGUGCUUUAUUGAAUAGGCGUUUUAUUAAUCCGGUUGUGGCGUGGUAAAUAGUUAGCCUAUGAACCGAAUAUGUAUGGAUCACGCAACUGGGUCUCUCGUUUCCUUUUUGUUUAUAGACGC